AUCCAGCUGACGAGCCCCAAAUAGGACGAAAUGCACAUUCUGGAU
rnacentral:hammerhead_ribozyme from 1 species